rnacentral:lncRNA from 1 species
AAAUAAUUAAUUACCAAACUGUACAUUUCAUUUCCACAAAACCAUAACUAAGCUAGCCUUCCCAAUAACAAAAUCCAAAUAAGAACUAUGAACAACACUCAAAUCUUACCCUAAUACCACCAAAAACCAAGACAACCUCUUGCUUUCCUUACACUAAAUUAUUUAUCUUUAUUGUUUUCGUUCUUAUUUCGCCCAUUCGGCUUACUAACUGCCAACCAAGAAUGCCUAAAAUGUAACAUUCAACAUUCACUUUUCUUUUAUUAUGUGCACUUGCUUUAGGAACUCGAGGAACUUGUAAAAUCAAAGAAAGCAUCCUAAGUCAUCACUGUGUGUUUGCUGUGCUUCUUGUUGAGGUCUUGUUGCCUCUUGACAAAUUCAUCCUGAUUCCCAUCAAUACCGUGGUCUUCUUUGGUGAGGUAGCUGUCAACUUGUGCGGCAGCUUGCCUUCCCUCUGAAAUAGCCCAUACCACAAGCGACUGACCACGCCGACAGUCACCUGCUGCAAAUACCCCAUCAACACUGGUUGAGAAGCGGCCAUAAUCAGCCUUGAAGUUUGACCUGUUGUCUCGUUCCACACCCAACUUUUCUGCUAUAGUCUGGCAAGGCAAAGAAAAGUAUUAUCAGUUAUGGCUUAUGGAAAUUGCUUUUGUGAAAGCAUAAAUUGAACUGGAAGAAGAUUACUACAAAAAGUCUGCAUUUAGCAAGAAUCCAAUAAAAUUUACUGAUAUAACUUCAAAUAAUGCAAUGUAAUAGCGACAUAUUUGGAACUUGGGAAUAAAGCUAUUUAAAAUACUUACCGCCUCGGGGCCAAGGAAUCCCAUGGCUAGUAAAACUAGGUCAGCCUCAAUAAUCUCCUCACUGCCCUCAAUUUCUUUAAAUUGAAACUUGCCAGUUUCAUCUUUCUCCCAGCGAACACGUACCACUUCAAGUCCUUUAACAACUCCAUUUUCAUCUCCCACAAACCUCUUAGUGAGUACCUCAUAUGUUCUAGGAUCUUUUCCAAAUUUAGUUUCAGCUUCUUGGUGACCAUAAUCAACACGGAAUAUGC